ensembl:snRNA U6 U6 spliceosomal RNA
UUCCUUUCAGCAGAAAAUAUACUAAAAUUGGAAUGAUACAAAGAAGAUUAGCUUGGCCCCUGGGCAAGGAUGACACGCAAAUUCGUGAAGCAUUUUAUAUUUAA